rnacentral:misc_RNA from 1 species
AGCCGCACAUCGCCGCCAAGUAUUUCAAGGAUUCCAGGUGGAUGAACAACUUAUGAAGCUAGCUGGAAAAAAAGCAUACUUUAUGCAUUGUUUGCCUGCAGAAAGAGGAGUGGAAGUUACUGACGGUGUGAUCGAAGCACCAAACUCCAUUGUGUUCCCUCAAGCUGAGAAUCGCAUGCAUGCACAAAAUGCAAUAAUGCUUCAUGUUCUUGGCUUGUAAAUGCCCUUCAUUUGAUUUAAAACACAAUCUUCUUAGGAACUAGAAGCAAAUUGUUUCUUUUCUCCCUAAAACAUUACUUUGUUUGAAACGUUGAAGAAUUUAGAUCAUCAUUGUCUAUAU